rnacentral:rRNA from 1 species
AGCGAACGCUGGCGGCAGGCCUAACACAUGCAAGUCGAACGAACUCUUCGGUGUUAGUGGCGGACGGGUGAGUAACACGUGGGAACGUGCCUUUUGGCUCGGAAUAACUCAGGGAUACUUGUGCUAAUACCGAAUGUGCCCUUCGGGGGACAGAUUUAUCGCCAUUAGAGCGGCCCGCGUCUGAUUAGCUAGUUGGUGAGGUAACGGCUCACCAAGGCGACGAUCAGGAGCUGGUCUGAGAGGAUGACAAGCCACACUGGGACUGAGACACGGCCCAGACUCGUACGGGAGGCAGCAGUGGGGAAUGUUGCGCAAUGAGGGAAAGCCUGACGAAGCCAUGCCGGGUGAAUGAUGAAGGUCUUAGGAUUGUAAAAUUCUUACAGCGGAGACGAUAAUGACGGUACCCGGAGAAGAAGCCCCGGCUAACUACGUG